rnacentral:tRNA from 1 species
GGAGGGGGCAGCUCAGUGGCAGAGCACAUGCUUAGCAAGCACGAGGCCCUGGGUUCAAUCCCCGGCACUUCCA